rnacentral:lncRNA from 1 species
UUUUUUUUUUUUUUUUUUUCUAUAAAUGGUGGUGCGCACGGUAAAACCAUACAUAAGAAAGGUAAGAAAAGAGAGGAAGAAUUAACAUCACAAGUAGAGACCAACCAUUGUCUGACUCAUGAUGAAUAGACCAUUGUCUUUAUUAUCAUUCACAAUGCAUAGAUACUAGUUGAAGAUGCCUUUCAUGUGUCUCAUAUCAAUUACAUUAUACUUAUCCCUUACAUUAUUGUUACAUCUCCUUCAUGCACAUUAAUCCAUUGUGUCUAGACAUUCUUGAAAUAAGACUACCUUCUAUAUCCUUCUACGUAUCUCAAUAUCAAAUCAAGAGUAGUCAAUAGACUUUGUGUUGCUAUUGCGUAUAUUAAAUUUCAGACGGAAAACUUUUAUGUAGAUGCAUUGGUCGCUAACAGGCCAACUUAUUCAUGAAGCCACUUUGAUUAAAUUAGAUUAGUAUUUUUGAUAAUCUUCUUGAAGGAAAAAAAAAAAAAAAAAAAAACUAACUGGUCAUCUUCUUGAAAGAAAAAAAAAAAAAAACUCAAAGCUUUUGAUCCAAAAGAGUGGGUCUGGCCUUUUGAUAAGAUGGAGAUGCGAGACGCAACGGAUAUCCAAUCCGCCAAAGAGUGAUCUAGCCUGCAGAAACCCAGAAUAGGUAUGGACCUAUUUUUGCAGUCCAUCUAGUCCCAUGAACCAAACUAGCCCGUAAAGGAAUCGAGUCCUACAGGACUUCACAUCAAGGACCGUUUUAUUUGCGUGCCAAUAGCCAUAUAAUUGUUUUACUUCAUAAUCUUUAAAAAACUUAACCUCUCAGCCCUCCCUAACCUUUUUCCUGGUACCAAGACUAAAACCUAUGUGCAUAGUGCCAACACACAGCUCCUACAAGUCUCACAACUGACCCAUCUAGAAAAAACUAUGCGAAAAUUGCACAUGAAAACUAUCAAAGAGCAAACAGAAAACCAAAAAUAUUGAAAUUUAAACCAUCAGCAUUUGCGGACCAAAACCAGAUACAAAUGCAGUUAUUGAACAGGACAAUAAUGAAAAAUCUGAUACAAAAAACUGGUACAUACUAAUAGACCAUAAAUUGAACAGCCAUAACUACAUCAGAAGGAAAAGAAUAACGAUAAACAACCCAAACAAAAACAAAAUCAAAAGACACCUCGCCAGCAUCCACCACGAUCACAUCUACAAUAUAAUUGUUGGCCAAAUUGGAUCCUGCAAGAAAAUUUUCACUUUAAAAUCCCAGAUGAAGCUAAACAUGUUUCUGGUUACAUACACUCAACGCAACAUGUUUUGUGUGCCUUCAAAAAAAAGCAUAGAGAUAUGGAACAAAAACAGAUUUCCUUGUGAGCCAGAAUAAUUUGAUAACAAGAGCGAAAAGUGAAGAAUAUAGAUUUGAUUUACGAAUUCCAGCAUUUAAAAAAAAUCUUUUAUUGUAGCAAAACUUUCCAUAGGUGUUUUGGGGGUGUAUUUUGGAGUAUUUUUAGAAUUUAAAAUUUUAGUGGGCUAUUUUUCAAAAUUCAAAAAAAAAAAAUUCACCAACCACCACCCUUCCCUCCUCCCUCCACCACCACCAUCACCCUCACCCUUUUUCUCCCUUCUCUUUCCUCUCUCUUCCUCCCCCUCCCUUUUCCUUUUCCUCUCCCCCCUACUCCCCCAUCAACCACCCCUCUCUCUCUCUCUGGUUGCACCAGUGCGAACUAGAAAGUGACCCCCUUCCCUCCCUCCCCUCUUCGGUCUCUGGUGGUGACCAGCGUGACCAGAUUUGGUCUCACAGGUCGCGACCAAAGAGGGGAAGCUAGGGGAUAAGGUGCUACUCUGGUUCACGUCGGUGCAGCCAAAGAAAAGGAGGGAGGGAGGGGUGAAAGGUUGAAGGUAGGGUAACAAACAAAUCGAACCGUUCGAAUCAAAACUCGACUCGAGUUCGAUCAAUAUUGAGCUCGAAUUGGUCACAUUAAACUCGAGCUCGAACUCAAUAUCAAAAUAUUAAUCUCGUUAACUCGCGAGCCAACUCGUGAACUCGAGUAUAUAUAUAUAUAUAUAUAUUUUUAUUUAUUUAUUAUUUUAAUAAUAAAAUUACAUAUAUAUUCUUAAUUUUUAAUUAUUUAUUGAGAAAACUUAUUUUAUUCAUUUUUAAAAAAAUAAAAUAAUUAUUUUUUAUUUUUUCGAUCUCGAGCUUUAGAUUGACAGUUCGUUGAAUUCGAGUUCAAAUUUGAUAAAAUUAAAUCAAGGCUCAACUUGAUUAAACAAAAACUCGACUUGACUUAAUUCGUUUAUAACCCUAGUUGAGGAGGUGGGUUGGGAAGGGGGAGCGAACUAGAAAAUGACCCCCUUUCUUUCCUUUCUUCUCUAGUGGUGACCAGCGUGACUAGAUCUGGUCUCACCAAUUGCAACCAAAGAUGGGAAGUGGGGGAUGAGGGGUUACUCUGGUUCGUGUUGGUGCGACCUGAGAAAGGGAAAGAGGGGUGGAGGGUCGAGGAGGUAGGUAGGGGAGGGGAAAAGAAAGAGAAAAAGGGAGGAGAAAGGAGAGAGAGGAGAGGGGAGGGGGAGGGGCAGCGAUGGCUGUGGAGUAAGGGAGGAAUAGUGGACGGUGGUGGUGUGUGGUGGUAAUGGGUAGAAGAAGAUAGAGGUGGAAGGUUUAUUUAUUUAUUUUAUUAAUCGUAUAUGAGAUUUGUAUGGAUUAGGUGUUUUUGGAAGUGUGUUAUUAUAGUUUAUUGAAAAACUUGUUUGUGAAAAAAUGGCAAAUCCAUAGAAACCCUUUUUCUGACAAAACAGAAAAAAAAGGCAUAAGUAACUAAAUUACAUAUCCAAAGACCAUAAUUAUCUGAAUUCCCUUUCUUUCUUUUCAUUAGUAAAACAUUUCAUCUUUAGUUGUUAGUUUGUAUUUCUCCUCCUCUUUUGUUGGUGAGAUAUGAAGUCCAAAACUUCAAAAAAAAAUUAACAAAAACUUCUAUCAACAGCAUAAUCAUCAUUGAAUCAGGAACUCUUUAAAUGAUGUUUAAGGGAAUAUAUCAGAUUGCAACUUUUGGACAUACAAGAAUGCCAACUGAUAACUCUCUCAGAAACCAAACAAAAUAGUUAAUAAACAAGAUGAAUUAAAUUUACCAACAACUGGAGCCCUUGGUUGGGUUGUGCUUUGUUGACGAGACCCGCUAGAGCCGCCUCUGGGUUGAGCUGGCAAUGCAAGUACCACCAAAGCUCCAUCACUCGAUAAACUUAUGUUCACGUUACCUUCCAUUUUAAACUUUUACAAAACAGAAUUUAAGGAACUGAAUUUUACUUUUCCAGGAAGGGAUUGGCAAAUAAGCAAAGGAAAAUGACAAAGAACUUGAGGAAGGUAGGAGAAGUUUUAGAGGUAUUUUUUGUGUUUAGGGAGGCCAGGGGAUUGGCGUCAGAGAGGUGUAGCGUGAGGUCACACCGAAGUAUCUUAAAAGCAUAAAUUUAUCAGACUGCACUCCAAAAUACUCGGCAAAUUAAAUGUGCCUACUAAAUUAUUGUCAGAUAGCACAUUUAAGAUCGGAUUCAAAUAACUAUCCUAUCUGAGAAAUGGUAACUAAAAACUCUAUAUUUCGUUGCACACACACAUAAAAAAAAUUGGCAUCUACUAAUUUGACCAUAGUCUCCGGACAUAUGGUGCAUGAUAUCAAGGUUAUGAUAAUAAAAAGAGUCAUUCGUUUCAAAUAUUGAAGGUAAUGAAAAAUUGGUCCCUGAUGAAUUAUAGAUUUGAUAACUUGUAUGAUACAACAUGGACUUAUUACACGAGUUCUCCAAAUCCUAUCAAUAGAGGUUUGUAGCUUCAUUUAAAUGCAACAAAAUUGGUUUUGAAUAGAUAGCAACAAAUUUAGUAACAAAUAAUUAUAAAAAAUGAUGAAAACUAAGCAACCAUGUUGGGAAACAAAUAAAUGUUGGAGAAUGAAUUGGUAGACACCUACUAAGCAAGACAAGCUGUCAAAGAUUGCGCUAAUCCAAGAAUAUAAAACAAGUGCAUAAACAUUUAGCAUAGUCUUGUCUAUCUUACGAUGGAUGGAGACAUUCACCUCAAUUGUUCCAUCCACAUAAACUUCUCUUCAUUCUAUUCCCUCCAAGUUAUGGUAUGAAUUCAUUUAGUAUUGGAACUAAUCUUUUACUUUUCCUAUGAAACGGGCCCUCUUGUCCAAUAAAGAAAGCAUGUCUUAGAAACCAUCCUCAAAUUUUUAAAAGCAAAAAUGCUUGGAAAAUAACUCUAUUAAAGACUUGCUAAACAAUGGGAAAAAACAACUGUGGUAUCAUAAUACGGUAAUUGAAGAACAAAAGUUAAAGAAAACGUACGUGCAACUGAAGUGAUUGAUCGCCACCAUUUACUUUCCUAUCUAUUCAGCCUUCGAAUUAAAGUUUCCGGUAAUAUUUCAUCAAGAUGGGCGGAAUUAGGGUUGCUGAUUGUGGUGGAUGGUCCAUAUGGAGGCCCUUAUGUCGGCCAAAAUGCCAUUAUUUCGGACCAAUCAACAUAAAAUUUGAGCGGGGGUUAAACCGGGAGUCCAUCAAGCGGUCAACAAAAAUAAGAAGAAGAAUAGAAGAUCAUUAGGUUGGUGAGUAGGCAGUUGAGAGAGAGAGAGAUUGGACAUAGUGUCGACUACAGUGGUACUUUUCCGGAUGGCAUAUUACUUACUCCAACUUUUGCGCCAACUUGGUCAGAAGCUGCCUCAAGGACCCCCAUAAGUCGGAAGCUCUGACCCAUGAGAAGGUCCAUUUAUCCUUUUCCAAAUGGGUCGACGGCAAACCUUAAAAGCCCAAUAUUUUUCUCCUUUCCCCCAUCUCUAUCGCUCUUUCUUUUUCCUUUUUUUUUUCUCUCAGCCAUUUUAUUGGAUCUAUGGUUUCCUUAUUUUGUUUGAUGUUGCUUAUUUUUUCAUUGAAUAAAGGGAUAAUUUCAUAAGUCUCCCUUGAGGUUUCUGACAGUCUCACUCUCCUCUCUUGUGGUUUCAAAAAUAUCAGAAACCUCCCCUGAGAUUUAGGAUUUUAUAACAAAAUUAGACCAUGAUAUCAAAAGUGAACAUAAAAAAGUGUUUUCAAGAAAGAGAGGAAAUUUUGUUUCCAUAAAUGCCCCUGAGAUAAGUGUAUAAGUUAUAUUAGUGAAAUAAUAAAAAUUUUAAAAAACCAAAAAUAAAUUAGAAAAAAAGGAUAAUUUCAUAUACAAUAUGUUAUUCAUCAAUAAUAUUAUAUCAAAAGCUUUUACUAGAUGGUUAUUUGUUUCAAUUGCAUAUUAAAUUAACCAUUAGUGCUUAUGAGAGUGCAUUAAAUAUUUAGUAGAGAGGUAGUUUACUUCAAUAAGUAGCAUGUAUAUAAAUACUUAGUGAAUGUACAAUCUGAUUGAAAUAAUGUACACCGUGUUAUUGACCAAGUACGAUGCAUAGAAAUUGUUGAACAUGCAUAUUGCAAUUAGUCAUCGCAGCAAUAUGCAUAAUGCAAUGGUAUGUAUACAUUUGGAAUGGUUAUUGGUGUUUUGACCCACUUGUGCAUCUCCUUACAAGUUGCAGUGGGUAUGUAAUUUUAUCUAUAUGACUAAUACUAAUUUGCCUAUAAACACCUUACACGUAGUGAUAUAUGAGGUAUAAUCAAUUUACAAAUAUAUACAUUAUGUUAUAUGUUAGUUACUUAACUGUGUAUAUCUAUAAAAGGUAGUGUAAUGAUACACAUAAAUUUGAAAUAGUUAGGUGUUAAAAAAACAUACAUCAUGUUAGGUGUUAGUUAUUUGACUAUGUAUACAUGUAAAAGGGAGAUUAGAUAUAGCGUAGAAAAAAGCAAUUACGUGAGUUGGAAUGUAUUUGUCCUGAUAAUCACGAAAUAUUAGCUGACUUGUGAGGUUAUUUAAGUCUUUUUGGCCACGAUGAUGUAAGAAAUGGGACCUAAAUUCUGACAUGAGAGGUUUGUGAUAUUUUUGAAACCACAAGAGAGGAGAGUGAGACUGUCAGAAACCUCAGGAGAGGUAUCUGAAAUUAUCCCUUGAAUAAAUAGGUUUUUUUAUCUGUUUCUUUUUUUCAUUUAUUUUUCUUUUUUGAUCAAGUUUAAUAAGCUAGACAUUUAAAUCUGGGACCUUUUUUUUCCUGUCUCUGCAAAAGAGGGUUUCUUCAUGGAUUACCAUCAUGUUAUUGUCAUGAUAUAAACCUAGUCAUCCCAAUCCUGAGAGUUCAAGCUCACCAUGUAGCAAAUGCAGUGCAUAGUUGGAAAUCGCUCCAAUAGGAGUAAGACUGAAAUUGUGUCCAACAUAAUGAUUAAAUUUGUAAUUCAAAUUCUGAUUCUAGUUUUUUUUACUGCAAAUUUGUGCUACUAAUUGUGGAGCAACCAUUGCAAAAGUGCACACUUUACACGAGAUCAACUUACUCUUAACAUAUAUGCACUACUUAAACUUGUGAAACAUUAGUCAAUAGUACCAACUGCUGAGCAUUGACCUGUUAAGCAAAUGAAAUGCAAAUCAUGAGACCUUUUCUCUUCUUAUGUUUAGGCGUUUAGCUGUUUCUGCCUCUAAGCAUUAUGUGAAAGAUUAUAUGAUGAACUUUGUGGUCCUUGUGCCAAAAUUAUGCAUCUUUAUACCUGCAAUUGAAAGGCACAGCAACUUUGUGGCUUCUGGGCUAUCCUAGGAUGCAUAAUCUUGUCUCCUUGUGUGUCAAUGUCGCAUUGCUGGUCACCAACAUUUUUUAAAAACAUUUUUGAAUUCUUGUCCUUGAGUUUUUUUUCAAGAAAUUUACUUAUCAAUGUGUCAUUGGUUUGUGAUAGCAAUUUGUGUCAUCCAUAACACUCUUGCACAAGUAGUUUAUAUUUGAGGAAUGAUGCCAUCUGGUAAGAAGUAUGUGGUAUGCCAGCAGCAUGUAUUUCUAUGAUGAUUGCACAUUCCAUUUUGUCCAGCUGUAAUGGAUUUAUUGAGUUUGUUUGGAUAGAGAGAAUUUGGUUUGCUUAAUUUAUUCUCACAAAUCCCAAUCACCUUUUUAUUUUCCCAAUCACCUUUUUAUCUCACAUACAUCACAUCACAAAAAGUGCUACAGUAAAUAUCUCAAAUAAAUCAUCCAAAUAAACUCUUAUCCAAACAAACUCAUUGUAUUCUAGUAAUUAGUUUUGUCAUGUUGCAUCUAAUUGUUAGCUUUUCAGUCUUAUAUUUCUCUUUCCAAUGCAUAAGUUGUCUAAUCUCUAAUUCAAAUAUACAUUUGUCUGUUCAUUAGCCAUCCGCUCGGAUACUCCAGAACAAUGGGCUUGAUGGUGUUGCAGCAAAGCAAGUCGCUUUGGUGUAGACAUUUAUUCUAAACACAUGUUGUUUGAGUUGUACCUUGGAUCUCCAUUUCUGGGUCUGUGGUGCCCUUUGGACUUAGAAUUUUUGUUUAACGGGGCUUGCAUGAAUAUUAUCCCUUUAUAAUUUGGCUAUCCCCAACUUGGAUCUUAUAAACUGCCUGGGUUUUGAAUGGAAUGAAUGCUUAAUGUCCAUGAAUUUUUCUUCUUGUUCUUUUUUUCCUUCCCCUUUAUGUUUGUGAACGUAAAAGUAGUCCUUGAUGGUAGCUCGUAGGUUUCUUGUCUUCUGCUUUAAGUGAUAGUUGCUCUGAGUAAUGGUUGUUGGAUUUGUAUUUUCUUCCUAUGCUUACCUUUGAUAAUUUUCCUUCACCAAGAUGUGUUGGGCAUCUGACAACAAAGGGAUGCCCAGUUGUUGUCCGGUCUUCUAUAGGAUGGAUAAAAGAUUUAAAUUCCGACACUGAGAUGGAUGAAAGGUUUAAGAUCUCAUCCUAGGGUUGAAUGUUUGGGGGUAGAUUGUUGGAUUUUUCCUAUGAGCUAACUUUUGUGGUGCAAGAGCCAUAUCUACUGUGAAUAUCAACUCACACCCUACUCCUUCCACAAGGAGCGUGGGAUAAACUCAAUGAUUACAUCCCCAACUAACAGAGUGUUUUCUCCACAAUCAAUGUGGAAUAAACUCAAUAAUUUUCACUUGUCAAUAAAUACUGUGUCCCUUCUAUAAUUAAUGUGGAAUAAAUCCAACAAUUUACAGAAUUUCCCCCUCAAACAUAGUUCAUAUCAACUAACACCCUACUUCCAACAAUUUCCUUCUCACGUAUUGUGGAUUAGAUCACCAACCAUUUAUUCAAGAACUGACGCCCUAAUGAUGCCAUAGAUGAGCAGCGUAGAACCAAUUUGGAUAGAGUAUUAUUUGAAAUAUUACUUAGAAUAAUUACUAUAACACUUUUUGUGAUGUGAUGCAUAUGAGAUAAAAAUGUGGUUGAAAAUAUAAAAAGAUAGAUUAGAAAAUGUAUUUAUGAUACAAGUCAAAUAUUUUUUGUAAAUCUAAACUAUUCAAACACGCCCAAUAUUUAUCCACACAGCUUUCUUAGGCUAUAACAAGAAAACUAGCCCUCUGCUCCUAGGGCUAUUAAUUGGUCGGGUAAUUUUUUUUAAGUAUGGGUUGAGAAAUAAUUCUAGUAUUCGGAUUCAGACCCGGAUUCAUUUACUCUAACAAAACUCGGAUCUAUUUAUUCUAACAAAACAGCGAGUCGGAUACGAAAUAUAGGAUUUCAACCCGUAUCCGAACCUGACCCGAACAAUACGUUAAUAAUUAUAAAAUAUAAAUAUUUCUAAAUACAUUCUUUUUACCAAAUUAACAAAAGUGUUUUUUUUUACCAAAUUAACCAAAUUACCUGUAUCUUAGAUGAAGCAUCUAAGAAAUUAGGAAUUGAAAGAGGCAAACUUGUUUGAUCAGAAAUAUAUUCAUCACAAAUUGCAUAUAAGUGCUUUUUGCUAAAUAUUCUAAGAUCAUGUUGGACAUUUUUGCUAACAUAGAUAAAAGAAAAUGAAUUAUACAUGUUGGAUCCUUUUUUUUUUUUGAGUAGAUCUGGAUUCGAUUUGGGACUCGUCGGAUCCGGUUCCGAAAUCUUAAGCACACGAUGCAUUGGAUAUAUGGGUCGGAUUUGGGUCUAAUACAUUAAAAUGGAUUCGGGUCUAAUACAUUAAAAUGGAUUCGGGUCUACAAUUUUCAAUUCUGACUCGAAUUCGACCAGUUGAUAGGCCUAUUGGCCCCUCCUUACUCUGCUAAAAAAAGAGAAAAAAAAACGACGACAAUAAUAACUUGAUAGUAACAUUUUCUUUUUGUUUGUUUGUUUUAAAAGUCCAUUUGGAUUACUAUAUUUUGAAUAUUUUGUAGAGAAAUAUACCGUAAUAAUGUGAUGUGAUGUAUGUGAGAUAAAAAGGUAAUUGAAAAGAUAAAAAAGUGUAUUGAAAAUUGUAAUGAUGAUGUAAGUAAAUAUAUUUGGAAAAAUAAUUAGCUGUCCAAACAAACCCAAUGUGUUAAAAAAACAUAAAAAUGUUUUGGAGAAAAAUUAUAAUCCAAACGAGCUGGCUUUUAGCCUUUUAGGGUGCUGCUCUGGUCUGGCCUUGGGCUGGCGACCCCAACAAGCCUAACGAACCUCAAACUUGUGCACAGUAGGUAUCAUCAUCAUUUGAAAUAAAAAAGGGUAGUAGUAGGAGGAUUAGGUAUUUCUUUCUGUUGGCGUUGUUGCAUAUAAUUGAGAAUUAGAUCAGCAUCCAUAUACCGUGUAUCUUUUUCUAUAGGCCAUUUCUUCAAAUCUGAUUACUAGUAGUUUUUUUCCCCCGUUUUAAUUACUACUGGUAGAAGUUAGACAUCCCUAAAUUCCGGCAAAAAAAUCACAUAUCACAACUGGAAGCUCCUCCACAUCCCCGGAUCCGGAUCUCUCUCAAGCUCAUCAACUCCGACGACGACGACAAGACACUAGUCAACAAGCUCCACCCCAAUCCCCUUACUCCUCCUCCUCCCUCCCCGCACAAAUAAUUCUACUGCUAACUGGUACUAAUUGGUGUACUUUUUCCCCUUUUUGUGAGCAAAUGGCUUCUGCUAAAUCGUCGUCGCGGUCAAGGCAACCACCAGCUAAAACCACCGCCCACCCCAAAGACUCCGCCAAUAAGCUCGAGGAUAAUCUUAACCUCUUCAAAUCCGAUAAUUUCGACGCCGAUUCCUAUGUUCAUUCCAAGUGUAAUUCUUUCAACGAGAAGGUCCCCCCCCCCACCACCCUCUCUCUUCUACUUAUAUUUCUAUUUUCUUCUCCGUUUCUCUAAUUUAAUAUCUUCAGGAAUUUAAUUACUGCUUCUUAUUGUUUGGACCAACUUAAAGAUUCUUCCUCCCUCUACUGCAGCUCUUAUUGUUUAGACCGCGUAAAUAUUAAAUUUUAGCUGUAAGGAAGGAUUGUAGCUCGUUUCAGAAGACACGUUGCCCACAUAUGACUAUAGAACAACGGAAAUGCGUUCCGAGUUCUUUUUGCCCAAUUUUAUACCACUACUUCCUAACAGCGUUCUUGCCAAUAUUGGGAAAUGGAACAACUUACCUGCUGCGCUUUGGAUGGUUCAAAUUAUUGAAAUUGCGUGGCUUGUAGUUUGAUAACCGUCCCAUUUUUCAUACUCAGCUUCGACCUACUCUUUCUGUUUGCUCUAAUCAUGUCUCUUUUUAUUUGGUCGUGUUUCCACCUGUACCACAUAUGUUGCUAUAACCAUUGGACCCUAAGUUGACCCUCCCUCCUACAUAACUUUCUGUUGAUGAAUAUCAUUUAUAGAAAAGACAAGGCCAAUCUACAAAGUUGUUCAAUCAUUGGCUUAGAAUAUCUUGACUUUGAGAUGGGCUCGACCGUCUAAGUAUUACCAAUAUGCUUCAUUUCCUCCGGCGUAUACCGCAAUUGAGGAAUUUACCAUUCAUUCAUUUUGUCUUUUCAGUACAAUUGCGAUGCUCAUGGACAUUCUGUAUAUUUUAAGUGCUCAAUAAAUUAUCCUGUUUGAAUUGCUUCAUAUGUCAGAACAGCAUACCUCAAGUAGCGAUUGGCCUAGUGACCUAGGUGUAGGACUAACGACACUGUCAUUGCUCUUCAAAAUUUUUGUCCUCCCUCGUAUUUGGUAAUUUGGUUGUUUAUGUAUAUACUACUUAAGGAAAGUGGGAAAAAGAAAUUUGAAACUUAAACUUUCAUCACAGAGUGUUCAAAGAAGGCCUUUGGCUGCAAAAUGAUGCUUCACAUUCAGGUUCCAGUAUCAUCUUAAAGUUCAAUUUCACUUAGUGCACGUAGAAAAUUCUGUCCUAGUUACAAGAAUUGCCAUUAGCUGUUUGUUGAAUACAUACAUACAUACACAUGUGUCUGUGUGUGUGUGUAAUUUACCACGAUAAAUGCUGCCCACGUGCACAUGCUAAAUUACAAAUAUUAGUUGUAUAAAUAAUCAAACUUCUAUCGGGGGGUAGCUAAUCAGAAUUGUGUGGAUUGUGGUCUGGCAGAUUGCAUGUGAACCAUCAUGCUUGUCAGGUUAUUUGUGUACUGAUUCUUUUGACAUUAGUGAGUAAUUCUGUCAUAAUACAAUGGCCUCACAAGUUUUGGGGGGACAGAUUGUGCCUGGAUAGUACAGUACGCAAGUUACUUCAGCUUAAGUAGCAAUGUAAUUCCUAGAUGUCAUGAAUGUUUUUAAUUGCAACAUUAUAAUUUUGCUGCAGUUAAGAUUUCUCUGUUUGGUAUGUGUGUGAUGCUUUGCUCCGCAUGAACGUAUCAGAAAUUUCUGUGUUCUUAAAUGCUGGUGUGUUUCUGUUUGCAGGAAAUAAGGCAACUAUGCUCGUAUCUUCUAGAUCUGAAGAAAGCUUCAGCUGAAGAGAUGCGCAGAAGUGUCUACGCCAAUUAUUCAGCUUUCAUUCGGUGAGCCCUUGGUUAUGUUUGCCUGGAUGAUAAUAAAGAUUUCUUUCGCAGCACUUACCUUUGGCUGUGAAUGACAAUAAAAGGAUCUCAAAUACCCAUAUUGGCAUAUGGACCUGCAACAGAUGGUACAGAAUUUAGGUCCUACAGUGAAAGAGAAAUUGUUCUACGAAAGCUAAUACUAUUGAAUUCAGUGGCAACCGGACCAAGAAAAACAAACUCUGUAAACUAGGAAAGACACUGCUCUGAUCUGGAAGUUUUAUUUGCGACAAACUUCACCGAGAACAUUUGCGACAAACUUCACCAAGUUCUCCGUGCUCAUUUAACAGCCUUAUAGCUGCAACGAAGCAGAGGCACCUGCCAUUUUGAUCGACAAUGUUUUUAAAAGACUGAAGCUUCUUUUUCUAUCAAAAACAGUCAUUUCCAUGUUUCUUUUCUUGGAUUGUCAUAUCUAGUUGAAGAUUUGAAAUUAUUCAGCUGAAAAACUGACACUUGCAUUAAUGUUAGAGAGACUGAUUUGUGUUGUCUUCCCCCAAUACAUGUUGCAUUUAUUUGAAGGUUGAAUUCUUGUUUUAUUGAAAUGAAAUCUUGGGUAGCACUUUCUGGUUUCAUUAAUUUGAUUAUUUUGUUCGCCAAUUUCAAUUUCCAGUACAUCUAAAGAAAUAUCAGAUUUGGAAGGUGAGCUUUCAUCAAUGAGGAACCUGCUAUCUACUCAGGCUACUUUAAUUCACAGUUUAGCUGAAGGAGUUCAGAUUGGUAGCUUGUCUGACUCUGCAGCUGAAGGUUUGGCUGCUAAUGGCUCAGUUAAUGAGGAAGUCACAGAGCCUUCAGAACUGGAGAAAAGGUUAAUCGAGUUUCCUGAUCUUCUUGAUGUGUUGUUAGCCGAAAGGAGAAUAGAUGAAGCAUUGGCAAGGCUUGAUGAAGGAGAACGCAUAGCAGCUGAAGCAAAAGAAUUGAGAACUCUGAGUCCUUCUGUGCUCUUGUCUCUUCAAACUGCUAUUGCUGAACGUAGAAAAAAACUAGCUGAUCAGCUUGCUGAAGCUGCUUGCCAACCUUCUACCCGUGGAGCUGAGCUUCGUGCUGCUGUUUUAGCUCUUAAAAAGCUUGGGGAUGGUCCCCGUGCGCAUAGUUUACUACUCAGUGCACAUUACCAGAGAUACCAGUACAACAUGCAAAGCCUCCGUCCAUCAAGCACGUCUUAUGGAGGAGCGUAUACAGCAGCCCUCUCGCAGCUGGUGUUUUCAGCCAUUGGUCAAGCAGCCAGUGAUUCUUUGGUUAUUUUUGGUAAGGAGCCAGCUUAUGCAUCUGAACUUGUGAUGUGGGCUACCAAGCAAAUUGAGACUUUUGCACUUCUUGUGAAAAGACAUGCAUUAGCCUCAUCUGCUGCUGCUGGGGGUUUGAGGGCUGCUGCAGAAUGUGUUCAGAUAGCUUUGGGCCACUGUUCAUUGUUGGAAGGCCGGGGGCUUGCCCUUUGUCCUGUGCUGUUGAAGCUUUUUAGACCUAGUGUUGAGCAAUCUCUGGAUGCUAAUCUAAAACGGAUUGAAGAAAGUUCUGCUGCUUUGGCUGCAGCUGAUGAUUGGGAACUUGUUUAUCUUCCAGCAGUGACACGUCAAUCUGUCAGGCCAUCCGGUUCAGCUAUGGCAACUAUGGCAUCAUAUCAGUAUAAGUUAUCAACUAGCGCUCACCGGUUCAAUUUAAUGGUCCAGGUACAUAUUCUUUUGCUUUGUUUCUUUCAAAAAACAUUUGGGCAUUUUUUGUUGUUAAAUUUAGUUUCCUUCAUGUUUCCAUUAGGCCUGUUGCUUUUGGACUUGCUUUCUAUAGUCUUUAUGUUAUUUCUUUAAUAGAUCUUUUUUAUGGAAAAGAGUUUACUAACCAUGUUUAGAUCAUGAGAAAGAGUGGGAUUUGCACUCUCUAACUUGCACGCAGACUGCAAUCUGAUUAGUGCUACUACACCUUCUGGCAUAGAUUGAAAUAUCUUGAUGUUGUCAGUUCUUUGAAUGUUCUUGUUGAGGAGUAUUGAUAAGCAGGACCGAGGUAAAGAAAUACAACUGUCUUUAUGAGCAAUAGUUCAUUUUCCUUAUAUUUGUGUCUUCAAUGUUUUAGUAUGAACAAUGUGGCCCAAGAUCAAGGAAAUCAUAAGAGGUUCACCUAUCCUUUUUAAUCAUCUGACAUUCUGCAAAGUUGCUGAUUUCCCUACAUCUUCAUGGAAUAUAUAUAUAUUUUUAUCAGUGAGGUUGAAGGCUAGUCUAUUGGAUUCUGGCUGCUUAAUGAUCCUUUUUCAGUGGACAAAUUGAGUGUUUCUCAGUUUUCUUUCAUCUGCUGAUUCAUGGCAUUCCGUUGCCUUAUACAUCUUGGAUGCUGUUUUCAUGGUUUUUAUUUUUUUAAGUGAGGCUGCUGCUUUAGCUUCCUUGUGACUUUACAGAUUUUAUUUUGGAAUUUAGACUGAAGCCUGCAGGCAAGCAUGAUUUUCAGGGAAAAAAACUGCGCUUGGCCAUGUAUUCUGUUUGUUAUUUACAUGUAGUUUAUAACCAUUUUAACAACUGUUCACCUGUUUCUAUUGUUUGUACAGGACUUUUUUGAGGAUGUGGGACCCCUGCUAAGUAUGCAGCUUGGUGGUAAAGCAUUGGAAGGUCUAUUUCAGGUGUUUAAUUCUUACGUAAACAUGCUCAUAAAAGCAUUGCCUGGUUCCAUGGAAGAAGAAGCCAAUUUUGAAGGCUCAGUGGAUAAUAUUGUUCGAAUGGCUGAGACUGAAGCCCAGCAAAUGGCUUUGCUUGCAAAUGCAUCCUUACUAGCUGAUGAAUUGUUGCCUCGGGCAGCAAUGAAGCUUUCCCCACUGAACCAGGGCAAUUACAAAGAUGACCCUCGUAGAAGAAGUUCAGACAGGCAGAAUCGUCACCCUGAACAGAGGGAAUGGAAGAGGCGUCUUGUGAGCUGUGUUGAUCGAUUGAAAGAUAGUUUUUGUCGCCAGCAUGCUCUAGAUCUUAUUUUUACUGAGGAUGGUGAUAGCCAUCUUACUGCAGAUAUGUAUAUUAACAUGGACGGAGAUGUAGAUGAAAUAGAAUGGUUCCCUUCUGCAGUAUUUCAGGUUCUUUCUUUUUCUUUCUUUUUUUUUUUACCUGUUUUUCUUUUGAAUAUUCAUUUCCCUUCUUUCUGCAAUAUUAAAUGCGUCCUUGACACAACUUUGUUGCUCAUGUACAUUUUUCCUUAAGCAUUUGCUCUAGAUUUUCUCAUCUUUUUAGUAGAUAAAUUAGAUGUUCUAGUUUAUGGUCUUCCUCAGUUUCAACUCUAAAUUGGAUUCCAAGUCCCUUUACAAAGAUGCACCUCGAGGCAUUGUAACGCCUAAGACAUCAUAUCCUAACAGGGACUUCAAUGAUUGAGGAGGUUCUAGUAGCCGAAAGAGGGUUUUCAUAUGCAUGUUUGAUUAUCUGUUAAGUUCUGGCAUCAAGUUUUAUGUCGUGUGCAACUUUGGUUUUGCCAUGUUCUUUAUCAUUGAGAAGGGGUUUAAUUAUGUCAAUUAUUAUAGAAUAGAAUUGAAGUAGCUCUCAAGUUUUGUUAUGGGAAAGGUGAUACUAAUAGAAUUUGAGUUCUGAUUCUGUGUAAUCAUUCUCUGUGAUCCAGGAACUUUAUGCAAAAUUAAACAGAAUGGCCUUCUUAGCGGCUGAUAUGUUUGUAGGCCGGGAAAGAUUUGCAACAUUGUUAUUGAUGAGGCUCACGGAAACUGUAAUCUUGUGGCUUUCAGAAGACCAGACCUUUUGGGAUGAUAUUCAAGAAGGACCUAGGCCUUUAGGUCCUCUUGGUCUGCAACAGGUUUGCAAUCAUUAUUUUGGAUAUGCGUCUGUGCUCUUUUGCCUGAACCCAUUAGUCAUUUCACUGUUCAUUUGUUUGCAGUUCUAUCUGGAUAUGAAAUUUGUCAUGUGUUUUGCUUCUCAAGGGCGGUACCUGUCUAGGAAUUUGCUUCGAGUUCUUAAUGAGAUCAUAAAUAAGGCAAUGAUAGCAUUUUCUUCAACGGGAGUGGAUCCAAAUAGGUAUGAUAUUGCAGACUUAAACUUUUUUGUUCAUGUAAAGUGUCAACAUAAUUGGUUUCUCUUUUCAUUCUGGUGCAUUAUGUGUGGGGAGCACAUAUUGGUAUCAGAAAAUGGUUUUAAAAUCAGUUUGUGAAGAUAUCUUAACUUAGUGAGUGUGACCACGAAAAAAUCAUUCAAAUCAAAUAACUUAAAAGUUCAGAGCACUUUGAAAUAUCUUUCUUGAGGUUGGGGUAAAAGCACCAAGGUGUUUUUGUUCCAAUGUCAAUAGACUAGAACACAUUUAUGGUGAAGUUGUAAAUUUUUAAUGUUCAUGAGAAAAAACAGACAUAUUGACAUAUGGUCUAGUAUAGGGUACUAAGUCUUUCUGGAUGUGGUCUUUUCUAUUUUUGAUGUAUAAAAGUUUGAUGUGGUAGCACACUUUCUAAUAUUUGAGAGUAGCCAAUGUUUAUGCAUUUCUUGGUUACGCUGUAUUUCCUUGCUGUUUAAAUUCUAUACCUAAAACUCUGUCCUUGAACAAUUUUAGAGUUCAAAAUUGGUAUUUAAGUAGUUAUGGGUAACUGUCAUGUGGGACUCCUUGUCUACUACGAAGAGUGUAUUCGUGUAUGUAAAAUGAGUAUAUGUGCAUCCUUUUAUGAGUUUGUAUGCUUCUUUAGGUGCAAGUAUUUUUCUACAGUCCUUUUUAACUUGGUUAGACUGAAAACUGACUUCAAAAACUGUUUGCUAGCGUUCUUCCGGAGGAUGAGUGGUUUGUUGACAUUUGCCAAGAAGCAAUAGAAAGGCUUAGUGGAAAACCAAAAGUUGCAAAUGGAGAACGGGAUCUCAACAGUCCAACUGCCUCCGUCUCAGCACAAUCAAUUUCAUCUGUCAGAUCUCAUGGGAGCUCUUAAAGAACCAAGAUUUAUCAAUUUGUAAAGGUAACAAUAGCAACUAUGGUUAGCCCUCGAGAGACUAUUGUACUCACAUAAGCAAACACCCCCCUUCCCUCCCACCCCGCUUCCCCAUUUCCAUAUCAUUCUGUAAUUUGGCUCCUGCAUAUUCCAUUCUUUCUGCCAUUAGUUUAUGGUAGUGUCAUUCUAUAGUUUUAUGUUUGCCUAUGGUUAGGAAUUCUUUUUGUUUCCGUGUUGGGGAAAGCAGUCUGUAUAUGCGGAUUUGACAAUUCGAUUCAAAAAUUCAUUAUAUUCUUUGACCAUUCGAGGAGUUUGUAUAUGUUGUUUGACGAUUCGAUCCAACGUUCAUUCUAGUCUUUAUGCAUUCUGUUGGCAAUUGUAUUGUAUGCUGAAGCUAUUGGACGUAAUAAAGAUACGUAGGUAAGACUAAAUUAGGUACUUGUGAUUAAUCUGAGAUAUGUAGCAUGCUGUGUCGAAUUUAUGAACUGCCUUAGCAGAGCGCAUCAGGAUGGUCAGUUGUUAUUUUGGAAUCUUUUGUAUACCGGGAUUCGUUUGUUAGUGGGAAUUUGGUGACAGUUCUGAAAGCUAUUGGACCAUUGACAACAUUAGUUCUCAUCUCCGGAUACUGACAACGGCUCUAUGCAUCCUUGCAGCAGGAUGAUGGUUUAUCUGAAUUGGAGUUUGUAUGUAUCAACUAAAACCCAAGCUGCUAAUCGAGAUGGACGAUUCUUUGACUAUUCAACUCAUAAAUCCUAUUGUUUCUCGACACGAGAGGGUAAACAGUCUGCAUUGCACCCUUUUCAGCACAAUAAACUGUAUUUGCAAAGGGUGCAUUGGGAUAUUAACCUUGAGGACAAAAGCCUUGCGAGUCCAUAAUGAAAUGAAUGGUUUCGUUUUGCAAGGUUUAGCAUCCAGUCGUACUUGCACUUCUCUCCAGUUCCUUUCCUCGUAGCAGCAUUUGUGCCAUCGCGGAAUCGAUGGUCGGAGCCUCAUGAUAGAGUUUCUAAUCAUCUUUCCUUAAUCUUUUAGAACUUUACAGCUUAGUAAAGUACUUUACAGAUAAGAACCACUGUGAUUGAUCAAGGGGAGUACUCUGUCAGGUUUAAGGAUUCAAAUCCUGUACGUGACAAUUGGGGAUGGGAGGGUUUUGACCAAAAAAAAAAAAAAAACCUUUACAGCUAACAAUAAUUGCAACAUCUGCUUAUGCAACAGAUUGUUUCCCGAAGCGUACUUACAAAAAAGAGUUUUUAUGAACUACCAAACAUAUGCAAUAUAUCAAUACAACAAUGAAGUUCAGAGCAAUUGUUCAAAGGAUAUUAUUAGGAAGAUAAUACCUUCUCCCAGCACUGAUAAGGACAUUUUUUUCACUGUCUACAUUACGCAUAAGUUCUAGUAACCGGUACUUCACAAGCCAAGUCGCUGACAGAGACUUCAAUCGAGGUUUAGUGUUCCAAGUUCCAACUCGACUAAUUUAACUACUUACCAAACACACCCAAUAUAAGAACUGGUCAUCCGCAUAACGUAACUAGGAUUUCUUUCGAAAUUUAAAAUGGAUACCAUCCCAACAAUCUUCUCCAUCAUUCUGACCCGCAUAGAACUUACCUUGAGUGAUGCGAGAUUACUUGGGGUCCUUCAAAACAUUUUUGUGGUGUUAGGAUGCAUUGUUGCAUAAGCCGUCAUCAAAUCACCAGUAAUCACCACAGGAACACUUGCCAUCCUUGAAAUGGUGGAAACGUUUGUUAUCUCUAACAAUCAAUUCCCUCCCGACAAUCCUUGACAUGAUCUUGAUGGCAUUGUGACAAUCACCACAAACACGAAGGUUCUUGAUGAUCCGCAAAGGUGUCCUGGCAGGUGUACUUAUCAGACCAUAUGCAAUUGCCAGACGUUCACUAUGAUAAAGCAAGGCCUGUUCUUUUGCCUCUUGAUCAAUGUCGUGAAGCACAUAUCUAGUAUCGGGCACAUAAGCUUGUUGUUUCAUAGCUUCUCUCAACUUCUCAUCGUCCUUGUAGAGAGUUGGGCUACGGAACUCCACAAUCCUGUUUCUGCCCUCAAGCAUGUUAACUGCAGACUGCUUCUUAGGCGGAGGCGUUGGAAUCUUAUUCUUAAUGGCCUUUGAAGGCUCAAGAGAAACCAUUAGUUCUUCUGCACGGUCUUCAAGAUCAAUAUCUCCAUGUAUGCGCGCAUAGUUCAUCAAUGCCUCCCAAACAGCUGCUGUUGGUUCAAAUGGAAGUUUUGCAAUGAACUCCUCAGCCUCCGCAAGAUGUCCACAUUUAGCAAGAACUCCAAGAAGCCCCAAAUAAUGCUCGAUUCCGGGUUCAAUGCCGUACUCUGUCUUCAUUGACUCGAAAUGCAAGAAACCUUCAUCGAUUGCAUCAGCACUAGCACAAGCAUCCAUAACAGCAAGAAAAGUCUGCUCGUUGGGAUGUAACCCCAAUUUCCUCAUCUGUUCAAACAUCGCCAAGCCAUCAUCUCCCAAACCGUUGAUGGCAUAUCCAUUGAUCAUUAAAUUCCAGGAAGCCAUAUUCCUAUCAGGCAUGUGAUCAAAAACUCUUCGGGCGUCAACCAUACUCCCGCAGUUAAUGUACAUAUCGAGCACCUUAUUAUUCAACAGAAGAUCACUCCUGCAAGUCGAUCUCAAGAAGUAAUCAUGAACUUUCUUGGCGUCCCCAUAGUUCUUUGACUUCAUACACAAGUCAAAAAGGAGAUUAAAACAAUGAGCAUCAGCAGCGAUUCCCUCCUCCAUCAAUUUGAGAGCUUCAGUAACAUUACCCGCCUCGCAGAGAUUUCUCAAAUCAACAAUACUCAAAGGAGCAAACUCGUCAGUAACAACCUGCAGCCCUUGACCGUGAGAUUGAAGGUUAGCACGGUUCUGAAUUCCCUGCGGAGUAAACCUAACAGACUGACUUUCGUGCUGAGAGGAUUUCCAUGGACUUUGGUCCUGGUAACCCUGGUUAUAACCGUGAUUAUUCUGCGGCUGAACCAAACCAGCACGUCCUCCUUGAUUUUGAUUAGGAAAAUUUUGAGAGUCACGGGGAACCGGGGGGUUCUGCGGAUAAACCCUCUGGUUUUGCUGAAACCCUCCUCCCCCAAAACCUAGACUGCUAUUUGGAGCAGCAGUUGUUGGCGCAGUAUUGCUGACAUUUCCGUGUGAAAAAUGCUGAGGAGGAGGGGGGGGCGGGGACGGCGGAUAAUUGUGUCUAGGAUUGACGUUAUCAUUGGAGAAGUGGUUAAAACUAGCUCCACGACCGCCGCCGCCACCGCCACCCUGGUGGGGAAUGGAAUGUGGUUCUGAAUAACUCUGCCCAGGAUAAGAAGAAGCAGAAGCAGGGUUGGACAUGGGGUGAGGACUUCGAUGAUGAUUAUUAGGAUACCCUCGACGAUUGUGGUCCAUCUGAUUCUGACCACCAGAUGUUUGAUAAUUUGCAGGAGCUGCAGGGGCAAAAAAUUGAGAAGUAGAAGUAGUGAAAUUGUUGCGAGAAACAAAAGUGGCAGGUUUUAGGUUAAGAGUUUCGGCGGAAAGCUGCUUGGAAAUGGAGGAGGAGCGGAUACUAGGACGUACCGAUGCUGCCGCGACGGAGCAAUUACAGAUGAAGAAAAGAUGAGGAAAACGACCUCUUCGCAGACUGGAUUUGAGAUUCAGAGACGCCGCCAUUGCAGAUCACUCCACCCCUAACCUAUCCUAACCCUAUUUGCGUCAAUCUUGGUUAAACCCUAAUACUCCUAAACCCUCUCUCCGAAAAUGGGAGGUUUUUCAUUUGGGGUUGGAAAUGUCGAAGAAAUAUAUUUAUCGUGGCCGGGUUUCUUUCCGGGGGGAGUGGGGAGUUCUUUUUGUUUUGCGAUUAUGUAAAAAAAAAAAAAAAAAAAAAAAAAAAAAAGAGUAGACAAUAUAAUAUUUUUAUGGGAAAAAGAAAAACAAAAGCCAAAUAAAUCUUCACAUCUCACCAUAUACCCUUUUCAAUACCUCUCACAGUCAUAACACUUUGAUAUCUCACAUCACAUCACUUAUAUUCUUACAUUUAAGAGGCAAAAAAGGAGUAAGAAUUAGGGCUCUUACUGCUUAGUGAAAGAGCCCUUUUCUUUUCUCUUUUUUUUUUUUUUUGACCUUUCCUGACACAAAUUAGAGAGAUAAUUCUAAAAGUCCUCCUUCUCGAUCACUGAUCCAACUCUAAUGGUUAUUUUUUUUGUGAAUUUAGAUGUAAAGUUGAAAAAAAAAAGACCAGAAAUAGAAAUAGAAUAUGAGAGAAAAAAGUGUUUCAUUUCAAAUGGGAGCGAUGAAUAAACUCUAAAUAUAACAUGUGAGUAAUUAUUAGUGUAAUUUUCCUUGGUUUUAAGCACAAAAGCUAAAAAAAAAAAACAAAAAAAGGAUUGUAAUUGCUGGUACUUACUAAUCAACCUUUACUAGAAAAAACUUUCAAAAUAGUUUUGACUAAUCCAUAAUAUUAAUAAUGCUCCUAAAAAUCUGUAACUUCAGUACUUCACAUAAAAAGUAUGAAUCAUGAUCAUCCUCAUCAUGAUGUGAGUGGGGAUAACACUUGGUGAAUUUUUCAGAUACUUGGGAAACAAAAAUAAUAAUAAUAACAUGAUGGCCUCUAAGCAUCUGCGACUGUCACAGCAUAUCUGUACUGCUACUUUCUAGUUUUAUCCGAGGCAGAGUUAUACAUGGUAGUAAUUGCUUUCCAACAAAUGGGGAAGUCCAAUUACUCGAAGAGCUUGUACUAUCUUUCUUCUGCCGUCUCCGUGACUAUUACUAUGGCAUCAUGAAUUGGACUUGCAGGCUCUGUUGCAAUGGAGAAGCCUUCAUCAUGAGAGCAAACGCCUUCUUCUUCAUGGUGCUGGUGGUGGUGGUGGAAAAAGCUAAUUGCUGGGCUUGGGGCAAAUUCAUGAUUACUCCCCAGAGAAACUACGUUAACAACUGCUGCUUCGGCUCCUGUGCCUUGCUUCUUGGCCGCCCUGCUCAAGUCCUUCCUUUCUUCAUCAAAUAUUUUUGCCAUUGCAGAAAGUUUCUGGACAACUGAACCAUUAGAGACGAGAACUCCCCUAUUCUCAUAGAAGAAGAUAAGCAAGAAUAUAGCAAGAGCUAGUGAAGAAGACAAUCCAGCUAUCAGGAAAAGCCCUUUAAAACUAUCCAGUGUCAGGCUGUCGGAAGUAGCCACUGCUCCAUAUUGCUCCGAACAAUCUGUUUCUUCCCCAAACCACUCCUUUAGAAUUCUCUUCAUUUUAUCUCCCUCGGUCACGUUUAACACUGCCCUUGAUACAUCAGGUACGAGGGGAGAACCCUUUGGAAAUGCCUGAAAGCAUUCGAGAGCAAUGGAGAUUAACUAAAGCUACAAAUCAUCAACCAUACCAUAUGUGAUCAAGAAAUAGAUGAUUAAUAAUCUCAGAACCUUUUUAGUAUCAGGACUUACAAAUCCAAAGCCAGCAGUCUUGAAUGUCGGACCAACCAUAGUGUACUUUCUGCAGUACUUUGCCAGAAAGAGCCUGAUAUAAGGAAGUUCAUCAACAAUUCCAUCCACUCCUCCAUUUCUGCUACCUUUACGAAGUGCUUCAUCGUACUCUUCAAAUGUGUUGUAGUUUCUAAACUGGGAGGCAUCGAAUUUCUUACUCUUGAGCAGCUCAGUUACAAAGGAACCAGUUUGGUAGCCGAUAUAUUCACCAUUUUUUAUCAGAUCAAAAAGAUCAGUAAUAGUCGGUUGAAGUUGUUGCACUGUCAACAUUGAUGUCAGGCUGGCCGUAUAACUUGAUGUAAGUACUAACACCACAAAUACCCAUAUGAUUACUACAAAUCUUGAUAAAUUGCUCAUGACCUUCUCUUCUGCAACAAAAGAAUGAAGGUUGCAUUUAAAACGAUAACGAGGGAGCAACGAUGCAUUUAUAUGAACCCCAUUGAUUACCAAAUUCAGAUAAACUCUAUGUCCAAUCACUCAGUAAAAGAGUGGGGAAACAAAAGGAUGAAUUGCACCUAUGAUGGGACUUACUAUGAGCAAAAACAAGCGUUGAGAAGGAGAACCAGAAUAUCAUUCCAACUUGCUUCCCUGGUGGACCUCGGAAUUCUUCAUUUAUACGAUGCUCAAGUACCCAAACGACAAAGCCAGUGAAAAUGAAAAAUGCUCCAGUAGUCAGCCAGAGGUCCAUUGUUAGCGGUUUCAUGAAGAUCCAGGCGUUCUUCCUCUCGUCAUCCUUAAUUCGAACAAUGGUGGAAACACCAGACUCUGUGUAAGGCAACGUGAAAUCCACGAACCUUGAUCUAUUUGCUAAUAUGGUCACGUCACCAACCACCGCAUCAUAAUUCUGAUAUCAGCAAAAGUUUAUUAAGUACACAUUUCUCUUCCAAAUAAAAGAGUUAAUAAUGUAGAACUCGUGUAAAGUCACACAAUCCAAAUCAACUUAUAGUACUAGUUUGCUGUCUAAUUAACAAAUUUCAGCCUUACCUCGAGAUAUAUUUGAUAUACAAGAUCAUUGUAAUCUCCCGCACUGUCACCGUCAGGGGUUUCAAAAGGAAUAAAAUCAUAGGAGGCUGCAUAUGGGAGGGACAUCAUGACCUCUUUGAAUACAUCCACACAGAAACCAGUUGCAAUGACAGCAUUUGUUAAGGGAUCCUUUUCCACCUUCACAAAUUCUGGCAAUCCAUUCUUGACCGGAACUCCAACCCUUAACUUCUUUUCAUGACCUGUUGGCAUUUCCCAGCCCUUAGGAACAAUGUUGGACUCACCCGGCCAUAUAAUGAUACCGAUAUUGUCCUUACUAGACUCAUGUACCAAUUGAGCUUCAUUUGGUUUCAGCUUAUCUGAAAUGCCAUAAGUUUCAGUCCAGAACCCAAUCUUCCUCUCCCCUUUUCCAAUUACAUUCACAAUCUCGAAAGCAGAUGGCUGUAGUUGCCCCUCAAUAAUGUGAAAAUCGCCACUCAAUCCAUUGAAUCUGAUAUUUCGGACAGAUUCAAUGAGCUCAGCUCCCAUUCCUGAAGUUCCAAUCAUAUCCAAGUCCGAGAGGUUCUUUCCAUUUAUCACCGCCUUUUUCUUGGAUUGUGGUUGAGCCAUAUUAACGGCUUUCUCUGUCGCCUUUGCUAGUGCGAUCACGGUGUCAUACGCCCAUAGCCCAUAAAUAUUUAACUCGAACCUAUCAAUCUCUGGAUUCUCUUCCCUGAAUCUCUUUCUCCAUCUCUUUGUAAAGAUAUCCAAUUUACUUGAUCUAGGGACAUGAGGCUUCAAUCCCAGUACCCCUUGCAUUGAGUCCACGACCGCAGGUUUAACAGAAUCCAAUAGACUCGUAAGAGCCUCUGUAAUGAUCCAGGCAUAGCCCUGGCUCAUCAUCCCCACUUCAUUUGCUUUCAAAAAUAACCGAGAAGCAAGAGAUGGCAGCAGAUGAACCACAAAGACCCUGGUCUGCAUGGUAAUUAACUUGUAUAGCUCUUCAAGAAUCUGAUCAUCCGAAGCAGCAGGAGAUAUGACACUUCGAUAGGAAACUAUGGUAUUGCUUUCUAGCAUUGCAUCAGUCAAGAAGGGAACUAUUCCACUACCAUAAAGACUGUCCUCAUAGACAAGGACAGCUUUCCUCCAACCAAAAGUUUUAAUAAUCUCUGCUAUGGCUGUAGCCUGAGAGGACGAACAAUGUGCUGCUCGGACAAAAAACGGAGACUCUUUGGGAGAAAGAGAUGGACUUGCGGCUGACGAAAUUACUGGAACUUUGGCUUUGUUCCCGAGAUCGAUAAUAAAAUCUGCUUGUGCCGACGUUUGAGGGCCUAAAAUUGCCUCGACUUGGACAUUUUUGAGGAGGUCUAUGGCUGCAUUCAGAGAUAUCAACGCAUACUUUAAGUAUCAAUAGUAAGCAGUGGUAUAAUUGAGAGAGAGAUUCGGGAAACGAAGAGCCAAAACAACAGAAACACUCGAAAGGGUGCUUUAGUUUUGCAUCCAAAUUAAGGUGGGGAGGGGGAUAUCCAGUACUAUAGUAAUGUACCUGCAGAAGCUGCUUCAACAGAAUCAGAUUUUGAAUCUCUGAGGUGAGCGACAAUCCUAAUGGUAGUGUUAUCCUGAAUGUUGUUGGACCGGUGAUCUUCAAGUGCCAUAAGCAUGGAGGUUUUGGAAAUCUUUCCCACCAGGGUGUCCAAAUCAAGGAUUACCCCAACAUCAACCUUCGUCGCAUUUUGACCAUUCAGGAGGACGACCCAGAAGUUAAUGAUGAUCAAAUGUCGGUAAAGGAGCUUAGUACUACUUUUUACAGGAUUCUGCAUGAGAUUAUCUAGUCAAAAUAAGUAGUUGAGCUCAACUAACAUUCAAAAUAUGUCCAGAACCCCCCCUAUCCCCUACCUCCCCCACAAACAAUUGGCUGGAUCGAGUGUGAGAAAGCAAAGAGCUGAAAGAAGAAAUGAAGACAAGUUUAAAGUUGUUGGCUAAAGUAGGGAUCCUCUGUAUACAUGUGGCUUGAACGAAGUCUCAGCGGUUAAGAUAGACUGUAUACUUGUGGUUGGAACAAAAAUAUUUGAUCAAACAUGGCUGCAGUGCGUAGAAAUCAGUAUGGCUCAAUGAAUCUUGACCUGCUUUGUUGUGGUCUACGACUGAUCAUGAACGUCCAUCCCAUUGCGUGGACUGAGAAUGGUUGACCUUCAUGAGAUGCAGAGCUGCCAAGAACUGUCCUUGUUGUCGCAAUUUUAAUUUCCUCCUUUGGGCCUUUGAUUUGACAGGGAUGGCAACGGGGACGGUUUUGGAGGACCAGGGCAGGAACGGUUAUAGGUGCAACCGAUUCAUAAAGUUAUAUGUAUUUUGCACACGAUAUAAAUUUAUUUGUACAUGAUAUAACUUAUUUUUCAUAAUGUGUAAUUUUAGAACAAAAUUUUGUAAAUUCCAUACAUAUUGUUAAAAAUGAAGUACAAGAUGAUAUCCGAAUCGUAUAAUUUUUUUUGGCCAAAUCUUGACCGUAAACUGUUCAAAAACGAUCAUCAAACCGUCCCUGCCCCAAAUCUCGAUUUUGAUAUAGGGACCUCUUCUCUACAAAAAUAAAAAAAAAAAUUCCACAACCCUAAUAUAACAUAACAUGUUACUUAAUUCAUAUAAAUAUAUUUAUAUAAUAACAAUAGCAUAGCAUUUAUUUCAUAUUAUACAAAUAAAGACACGUAUGGAUAUUAUACAUAUAAGGAGACGUAUGGAUAUUAUUCUAGAUUAAAAUUUAGGUGGCCAUUCCCGUCCCGCGGUCCCCACAGUUGCCAUCCAUCCGUAUUUGACGUUGCAGCUCUUUCCCAAAAAAAAAAAAAAGAAGAAGAAAAUGCUAAUACAGGUCGUAAAUUAUUGAAGUUUGAAUGGAAGACGACACAUUAACUAAACCAAACAGGUCGAAGUACAACCUAGUGUGCCGGUAAUUUGAGUUUGGUCGUUGGAGCAGUGAGUGGAGAGUAACAAUUUCCUCUUUCUCUGCCACCACUCCAUCCUUGGUCCUCUCAAUACAAAACUGGGUUCAUUCUGAUUCUGUUCAAACAAAAACAAAAACAAGAACAAGAACAAAAACAUCCACCGAUUAUGAACACUACUACUCAAUGGGAUGUGGGGAGUCAGUUUAGUUUCUAUAACUGCAUACUAAUGGAUUUGAUUUGCUUCUACAAGUAGAAGCAGAAGCAGAAGCGGGGUAUGCAUCUGUGAGCUGCUUCACUACAUCUCUCAUUGAAGGCCUUUUGCUCGGCUCCUUCUCCGUGCAUCUCAGUGCCACUAAAAGAACAUUGGUAGCCUGCUCCAUGACACUCGAAUCUAUAAAUUCAUCCAAAAGCCCUGGAUCAACUGCAUCCUUGAUUUCUUCUGCUUCAUUCCAAACUGACCGAACCCAGCUCACAAGGUCUUCUUCCCCUUCCCCGUCGUUGAAUGAACAAGAAGGAUCUAGCAGUGGCUUCUUCCUAGUUACCAACUCCAGCAGAACGACCCCAUAGCUAUACACGUCCGACUCCUUGCUCUUUGUUGUUGUGAAUGCAUUCUCUGUCAAAAUUGUCAAAAUACCACAACCACCAGUUAGUACCCUGUGUUAAAAAAAAACCAACACAAUCUAUAAAGAGUUUGGCAAAUGGCAAUGGCACAAACACAUUACAUUAAUUACCUGGUGCUAUAUACCCGACAGUUCCAAUAACUGCGCUGCAUGACAUGGAAGCUGCUUGUUGUUCAUCGAGAAGCUUGGCAAGCCCGAAAUCGGAUAUAUGAGGCUCCCAUUCAGAAUCCAACAGUAUGUUCAUAGGCUUAAUGUCUCUGUGCACUAUUGCGGGAUCGCAGUCAAAAUGAAGAUAUGAUAGUCCUUGAGCGGUGCCGAGCGCUAUCUUAUAACGAAUGCUCCACUCCAAUUGAAGAGGUGGAUUCCGCUCGUGAAGAACGUCGUGCAGGCUUCCAUUCUUCAUGUAGUUGUACAAAAUCAAGCCAUAGUCCUUUCUAAACCAGAAUUCUUCCAACUUGACAAGGUUCCGGUGCCUUACAGCUCCAAUCGUCUGAAUUUCUCUGAUCAUACUUUUGCUUCCACCCCUACUUCCCGCCGACGAAACCUUCUUUACGGCAUACACUCUACCUGAGCUCAAUGAAGCCUUAUACACCGUUCCAUGCGCGCCCCUCCCAAUCACGUACUUACCACUCAGGUUCUCCGUGGCUUCCAUUAUUUCAUUGAGCAGCGAAGAAGCACCUCCUUCAGCAGCAAUUGCAUUUUGCAGUUUAGGUCCUUUCCUCCGCAGGAACAUGUAAGCAAGCCCACCGAGUAGUGAGAUGCAAAGUAAUGAUGACCCCAGCGCUAUCAUUACCGUUCCUACUUUGCUGCGGCCUCUUUUAUUCUCCGAUUGAAUAGUGCAAGGUCUCGAGAAACUCUUCUCCGUACAACUCGAGCUGCCACCUGAAAGACAAUUGACGCAAAGACCCAAAUUUCCUUCAAAUGAAGAAGGAGACGAGUUCAGGAGCUUGAGUAAUGUUGCAGGUACUGGACCAGCAAAAUGAUUGUGGGAGACGUUUAUGAACACCAAUGAGUGCAUGUUAUCAAGGACCCCUAAGCUUCCCGAUAGAUUGUUGGAAGAUAUAUCCAGAUCUUCCAGCAUGUCUAAUCUCCCGAGCUCAGGAGGAACUUGACCCAUCAAUCUGUUACUGCUCAAAUUCAACGACCUCAUAUUUUCACCAGCCUGCGGUGAUCCAACUGAUGCCGGAAUGCUUCCGCCAAAUGAAUUUCCUCCAAGAUGCAGUGUUGAGAGCCUUUCGAAUUCAAACAGAAAAACUGGGAUAUCACCCGCAAAUCUAUUCUCACUCAGACCCAAGGUUGAUAACUCUGUCAGGCUCCUAAAACUGGCUGGAAUCGAGCCAUUUAACAAGUUAUUACUGACUUCAAGUUCCGAGAGCUUUUCACAGGUGGACAGUUGAAAUGGCAAUUCACCUUCCAAACUGUUGUGAGAUAGAUCUAUGGCCUGAAGCUCCACAAGUCUUCCUAGCUCGGGAUGUAUAGGCCCAGAGAGUUUAUUCAUGGAUAGGUCAAUAGAGGUAACUUUUGUUAGAUUCGCCAAGCUUAUAGGUAUUUCCCCACUCAAGUUAUUGCUGCUGAGGUUUAUGUACACAAGGUUGGGAUUCUCUACAAAGUCAGGAAUGAUGCCAGUGAGAUGAUUCUGUUUGAGAAUCAGCCUCGUUAAAUUAGAACAGCUUCCGACACCAGGCGGAAUGCUGCCUCGAAAAUCAUUUUGGCCCAAGUUCAGCUUCCUCAACUGAUUUCCAAAGCAAAGAUCCGGAGGAAUAGGCCCCGUGAAUCGGUUACUAGUUAAAUCUAUUUGCACUAAGGUGCUGUUAAUUCCCAGUCCUUGAGGUACAACUCCAGUAAACUGGUUUUCGAACAGAGACAGGUUCCUUAACUGCUUUAGUUCGGUGAUUUCGAUGGGUAUCUCCCCAGAAAGAUUGUUUUGAUAAACUAGAAGAUUCUGAAGGCUUUGAAUCUUCCAUAUACCAAGAGGGAUUUCGCCAGUCAAAUGGUUGGUAAAGAGAAACAGGCUCUGCAGCUGGCUGAGCUUUUCUAGCUCAACUGGAAUUUGGCCUACUAGUUGGUUUUCCUCUAUCCGCAGAUCAACCAAGGACGCGCACCGUCCCAGCUCCGGUGGAAUUUCUCCUGACAGCCUGUUGUCCGAGAGAUAAAGAUUCAUCAGGUUUCCUAGUUGGGCAAAAGAGGGAGGAAUUGGGCCGGUUAAGGCACAACUGACAGCAGCAAAUUGUGUUAGGCUGCUGCAAUUUCCCAAAGCUGGUGGAAUGCUUCCCGUGAAGUUGUUGAAAGAGAAAACAAAUGUGUCCAUCUCUUUGCAGUUCCCGGAAACGAAAGGAACGUUGCCCUCGAGCAUGUUGCUGCUUACAUCGAAAUAAACCAGGUGCUCAAGACUGUCGAGAGCGUCCGGUAAUGAUCCAACCAACUGGUUGUCACCCAAAUAGAGUUCUUGCAAGGAAGUGCAGUUUGCUAUGGAGGGCGGAAUGGUCCCUGACAAGUGAUUUCCGUAGAGCCACAGAGACACAAGCUCGCUGGCGUUUCCAACAUUGGAUGGGAUGGUGCCGGUCAGUCGAUUGGUGCUGAGGUAAACGGUGUGAAGGGCUGGGAUGGAAAACAAGGAGCGGGGUAGGGUACCAGUCAGAGAAUUGUCGUACAGGCUUAAGUAGGAAAGACGGUACAAGUUGCCGAGGGCGAGAGGCAGUCGUCCCGUGAAGUUGUUGGAAGAGAGAUCCAAGUGCUGGAGACGAGUGGAGUUUCCUAGUUGGGAAGGAAUUGAACCAGAAAAGGCGUUGAAGCUCAAGUCAAGUACGGUCAAGUGAUAUAAACGAGAAAUUUCAGGUCCCAAUUGGCCAGAAAUGCCAUAGCCGGAAAGAUUCAAAGAAACCACGAAGAAUUGAUGACUGGGGUGGCAUUGGACUCCAACCCAAGAAGAGCAAGGGGUGGAAUGGGAAGCAUUCCAGGUAGAUUUGAUGGAAGGAGGGGUAAGCGUCCAAUGCCUAAGAAGUGACAAGAGAGCGGUUCCAUCUGAAUUGAGAGCAGAUACGGCAUAUACAGAUGCGGACAAGCACAAGAAACGCAGCAAACGAAUCACAGCAAAUAUUGCCAUCCUUUUUUCUUUUUUUUUCUGUCUUCGCUUCCCUUUUUAUCCCAAAAAACGAAAAGGAAGGCAGAAAAGCUACGGGAAGAGACGACAGAAACGGUAGGGAAUUAUCGAGAAUUAAAUAGUUACCCUGAAAAGACAAGAAGAAGAAGAAGAAGGAAGAGGAGGAAGAAUGAUUGCAAAGAUGAAUGCGGCAGGAAGCUUACUAGAAUACAUGACCCCAAGUGGAAAUAGGAAGAAGAGUGAUGAGGAGGAGGAGGGUGGUGGGAAGAAAGCAUUUGAGUUUUGAGUAGCAGCAGCAGUAAGCAAGCAGAUGAGGUGGAAGAAAAGGGGGGCGGUGGACGGUCAUGAAUGUUACGAGGCAUCGGCCCCAGCAGCAGUGGCAGUAGAGAGCAUUGAGAGCUGAAUGAGAGGAAGGGGGUUGGUUUGUUUAUUUUUAUAGGAGUUAACGGACAGACUACUACUACUCUACCAUCCUCCUCCUAUUUAUUGUGUUGUUGGUUAGGAGGAACUUUUUUUUAUUAGUAGUAUUAGGAAUUUAGGAUAGAAUAAUAUAAUAGUAAUUUAUUAUUAAGUGUAUCAAAGACAGCAACUACUAAACGACUCACUCGAAACGGGAAGACAGACAACACAGCCCCUAUGCUAUGCUAAUGCUAAUGCUGCUCCCUAAACCCAACUUCCUCAAGUCUUCCCUACUUUACAAAUCCAAUCAAUCAAAAUUUGCAUUAGAAUAAUAGAUGAUGAUCACCUCUUUUUGCUCUCUUUUGACCCACCACCAGUGACCACGCCGGCCACCACCCAGCCCCAUCAUCCUUCCACCGAAUUUAAUUCUUUUUUUUUUUUUUUUAACAAUCCUCCUGUCUCCGUCCUCUUUUUUCCAGCUUCUCACAAUUACUGCUAGGGCCCUAUUUUGGUUACUUGGGAGAAAUCAAAUAGGCAGAAACAGUUUCUAUAUUUCAUUACCAUACGAAUCUAGUAAUGGGAACUGGAGAAUGAGCUUGCAGGAACUGUCUGCCAUUGCCAUUGCCAAUGCCAUCCACCCAACCACACAACACCGUCUCCACUCUACCCGUACGGACUCUUAAAAAUUUAUAUAACUUUCUGGAUAAUUAAACUGCUUGGACACAAAUUUGUUGGUUAGCCUCCUAAUUAUUCACAUCCCAGUUACUAGUUGGCCGGAAUCUUCCAGCUUUCGUUCCGUUUUCUUCAUGUUUGUUCCCGUCCCCCCACAAUAGUAUCGGUGUUAGAACUAGGGCUAAAAAAACGUGGACUAAUUAAAUCAAGGUUGAACAGCCUUUUACUUUUGGUAAAAUAUCAAAUUGGGUUCGAGUUUGAUUUGAUUAACAUAACAUUGAAAUUUACUUACAAGUAAAAAAAACUCAAGUUACCAGAGUUCGACUCAAGGUCGACUUGAUCAUUUAAUUUCAGCUCAACAAAUAAAGAAAUAAUCUUGAACAGAAUUUCAAAUUCGUUAAUAUGAACGUUCGAUUUCGUCAGGUUGAUUUACACUCCUACUUGGAACCGCUUCGAUAUCUUUCAUAUACGUCACGCAAUAACAAUAAUGUGGACCGGCGUUCAUUUCCAUAUUUAUUUUGUUUUGCACGUUGUAUGAAUUUUUCAAAGCAAUUCCUCCUUAGUGGAAGUUGUUGGUAAGCGCAUCAACAAGAAGAGGUGAUCCAACUAUUUCAUGCUCAAUUCCUGGAAAAUGGGGUGGGGGAUCAAUUUCUGACGCAACCUUCGGAUGCCAAACUCCAAACUAGAAAAUUGAAUUUGGGCUGCUCUGCUGAAAUUGAAAAUGACUCGUCAAUCACUCACACUAAUAAAGCGGAGAAGAGGGGAAGCAGCACAGCACCUCUUCUUACUCGGUUUCACACACCAAUGACCAACCAAAGUGAGUCGUGAAGUGAAGGAAGGGGGAUUCCGUUGACGUACGCGGUCGCGGACUGAUUUCUUUCCUUUUCUUUUCUCUCUCUCUUUUUCCCCAGGAGCAAAACCUUUCAAACAAAACGAAGCAGCAAUCAGUCAGUCAUAAAGAAGAUGUGGUAAACGGAGUUUCACAUUUAUUUACAGGAGUAGUGGUUGUGGGUUAAAAAGUUCUAACCCACUAAGGCUCCAGCUGAAACUCUUCCUCAAUUAACUCGCAUUUUCCACCUCAUCUCGCGCGGUGGAAGCAGGCACAUACAUCACAGCCACAGGAUCCAUCAUUUCACACACCACCACCAACACAGCCCCCUCCCAAAACCCCCAAAUAUUUUUUAACUUUAGGAAUAACUCAAAAAGAUUUAGUAGUCAGUGAUUAUGUCUGAAGUCUUAGGAGAUGAUCUUUCACUCCUGCGCCUGCAGAAAAGCAUUUAUUAUUUUACCAAACUUAUUAGAGAAUUGCUUCAGACAACCCAAAUUGUACCGUUUCAGAAACCAUUCCAGUAAAAUAUAUUAUUGAUUCUCAAUACUAUAAACUUUUCCCCAACUUAACUAUAAAAUCAAGAUCAAAAUGAGAACAUCUAGUUAGCUAAUGUGAAAUCUAGAUUAGGCUGUUUAAACCAGCCGACGAAGAAGGGCCACAGUCGAUCAGGAACCAAAAAGGUCCUCUGACGUCGUUUGGUUUUAGGGUAUCUUCAACGUUUAGACCCACGACAGACAGAGGUAGGGGAGGAAGAAAUCCUUCCGAGCCUCCUUGCAUGCUAACAUCAGGGCACACGGAUAACUCAGACUACACAAAGCGCAGCGCCGCACUUUGCCCAAACUUUUUGAGUCGAGACAUGAGAUCAAUUACAAGAGACGUUGAUCUACAAAACCUGAAAUUUUACAAUCACAGGGCUAAAACAAAAGAAAAUAAGCGGGGCAACGAACAGAAACGUCCAACAUUUAUUGCUAGGGUAGAUAUAUACUUCAAAUCUUUCUUGUUUCAAUAUUCUCCCUCCCUCCCUCCAUCCCUCCCUCUCUCACUUCACUGCGCUAGACUUCAAACAAGUUGCAGGCAGAGAGCUGGGAAGGCCUCCUAAGCUCAGAGCCAACUUCCAGCCACGUAAAACAACAACUCAACCAGAUGCCAACCUCAAACGUCUAGAAUCAGACUGUCCUACUGGAGUUCUGGUAUCCAGCAACUAGAGCAGAUCACCAAAAUGAACAGCAGCUCCAGCAACAAUUGACCCUGCAUAACAACAAUAGAAUGGACAACAUUCCAGAUUCUUGGAUUUGCUCAUCAUGCAAAGCCUGGACGCCAAGAGCGUCAUAGAGCUAAUGAACUUAUCUUAAGCUUAAGCUUUCAUCGAAAGAUGCUAGUGACAGCAACGUGAUCUGAGUAUAAUUAUCAUGACUUAUGAUAUGGGUUUCUAAAAUUUCCAUGUCAUGAUGAUUGUGCCUGGGGAUGAGCCUCAGUUCAUUGUGACAUAGCAUGGCAUGUGGUAUCCAUGGGAUCUAUAAUACAUAUUGAUGACAUGGAGAAAAUUGGUUUGCAAGGCAACAUGUGUAAAAGAAAAGCAUUCCUGACAUUGUAAAGAGUUGAGGAGUGAAAACCAUAAGAUUCAACAGCUACAAUCCCAUGCACCCUUGACAUAAUAUAUAGAAACAAAAGUCCUAAUCAAGCUAAGAAUCAUUCUAAGAUAGCAUUGCCGGAAUGCAUAUGUCCUGCAUAAGCAAAAUAUAACAUGGCCCAACAAUAUGUUCAUGAGACCAUUUCGUGCAUUCAUUAACAUGUAAGAUGCUAAUGCUGAUGACUUGAUGACAA